rnacentral:rRNA from 1 species
CGGGUGAGUAACGCGUGAGUAACCUGCCUCUCAGAGGGGGAUAACGUUCUGAAAAGAACGCUAAUACCGCAUGAUAUUGCGAAACCGCAUGGUUUUGCAAUCAAAGGAGCAAUCCGCUGAGAGAUGGACUCGCGUCCGAUUAGCCAGUUGGCGGGGUAACGGCCCACCAAAGCGACGAUCGGUAGCCGGACUGAGAGGUUGAACGGCCACAUUGGGACUGAGACACGGCCCAG